GCUCCUUAAAGAAUGAAGACAGUUGAGUACCCAGGGUACCAGAAUCACCAAGUGUAACACUUUCUUCUUCAAACCAAGCUAAUUAAAGGAAAUGAAGCAGGUAGAGUAGCUACAGAAAUCUCAUUCAGUCCAGAAACGCCAGCGGUCCCCAGAGCACACUCAAUCACACGCACUAAUUAACAGCUUUGCUGGUACCAGCAGCCUGCUGCUCCUUGCUACCAGAAGAGGAUGACAUACUUUUUCCAGAGGGUUUUGUGAACGAGAAUUUGAGGCUCAGACACUGGAAUCUGGGCAUCCUGUGCUCAGGUCCACCCAUGGCACUGCUCGCUCUCUCUCUCUCUCUCUCUCAUUAAUGUGCCCUCUCCUGAUGGUUUUCCCUUUCUCCCUGGUGCAUUUCACAGGGGAUGGUUCCUUCCUGCUCAGGAUUAUCAAGGGAGGAAAAAAAUAUGAUAUGUUCUUUGGCUGCCUGGCUGAAGGAGCUGCUGCUGACCAACAGCAUCACUGACACCAGCUGCACCAGAAUAUCAAAGCUUCUGUCAUACCAAGCCUUGGCACAUCUUUACCCAUCACCUAGAGCUCAAAAUUUCUGAGGAGCUGACAGCAGGGCUAAAUUUGGCCAGCAUUUCACAGGACAUCAUAAACCACAAGCACAAUACCUUGAAUAGCAUUUCAAAACUUCACAGCACCAAGCAGUUCAAGAAAACCAGUAGUCUCUUCUACAAAUCGCUGUCUCCUUCUUUCUCCACCUCCCCAAAUCCAAAUUUAGAGCCUGCUGAGCUGCUACAGUUAAACAUAAAAGCCAAGGUAAACGGCAGAUUAAAGCAGUUUUGUCAGGCUAAAGCAAUUUUUAGUAAGAGCCAUGAAAUGCUGUGGAACAAACUUAAAA